AGAUAUAUUAUUUUGGUUCGGGGGUUGAUUUGGUGAGUUCGGGUGGCAAGUAACACAAGUUUGAUCCAUCAAACGACUGUUGAUAAUUUCCAGCAGCUUCUUCGCCUGUUAUCGCCGUGUGCGCGGAGGAGGAAGAGAGAGGAUUCAGCUGAGCCAGCAAAGGAAGGUCUUGGUGGUCGAUCGAUAGAUCGACCGAUCCGGGGAUGGCGUCGUCGUUGAUGAAGUGGCUCAUCAACCCCCGUCGCAACCGGUUCGCCGCCCAGCACUACAAAGCCCUCUGCAAUCGCCUCAAGAAAUACGGUUAUCUUGUGGCCCCUCGCCCCUCGCCCCCUUCCCCGUUCUGGAUUAGGGCUCUCUGGAGUGGGUUCUUUUGAAUCUGUACCGAUCGAUCUUUAUUGCUUCUGGUAGAGGGCUGAUGUACGACGAUCUGUACGAUCCGAUGUACGAUCUGGACAUCAAGGAGGUCCUGGCGCGGCUCCCGCGCGAGGUGCUGGACGCCAGGAACCAGCGCCUCAAGAGCGCCAUGAAUCUCUCCAUGAAGCACGAGUUCCGUCCCGAGGACUUGCAGGCAUAUGCAAAGGUUGUUGUUACAUCUGUAAAUUUUUUGGCAUGGAUCAUCCAACCCCUUAACAACGUAUUUUAGACACAUAGGUGAAGAAAUAGAAUGCGGCGCGUGAGGCAUUGGGGAGCUCUGCCUCUCUAUCAGCGCACAAUUCCAUAAGAUAUCCAACAAGUUUUACUUUUAUUUGUAACUAAAUUGUAAUGGAAUAAGAGUCCACCCAGUGACAUGGUGGCUAUUGGCUUUCCAUGUAACCUGGAUGAUUUUUAUUGAGAGUUAUCAUAAACUAUGAUCUGUUUUCUGUUAUCCCUUGCCGGCAUCAGAGUGCUAGAGCUGUGGGCUAUAUUCCUACAUCGGAAAUGAAUUAGGACUUUGAUUGA